UACGUAGGGUGCGAGCGUUGUCCGGAAUUAUUGGGCGUAAAGAGCUCGUAGGCGGUUUGUCGCGUCGACUGUGAAAACCUACAGCUUAACUGUGGGCUUGCAGUCGAUACGGGCAGACUUGAGUUCGGUAGGGGAGACUGGAAUUCCUGGUGUAGCGGUGAAAUGCGCAGAUAUCAGGAGGAACACCGGUGGCGAAGGCGGCUCACUGGACCAUUACUGACGCUGAGGCUCGAAAGCUAGGGGAGCAAACAGG
rnacentral:rRNA from 1 species